AGCAAAAGUCGCACACCAAUAUACACUUGGGCUUUGGUAGAUUUUUUUCUACCAUCUCACAAUUUUUCUUCCCCUUCAGCCCAAUGUCGCCGGCGACUUUCUGACCUGCUCGAUAACCUCCGUCUCUCUCUCCGUUCGAAACAGAUUUCUAGGGUUUUGGAUUGUUGAUUCAAAUUUAUACAUAUCGGAAUAAGACGAUGGCAGCUCCACCAGCUAGGGCUCGAGCAGAUUAUGAUUAUCUCAUCAAGCUUCUCCUCAUUGGCGAUAGCGGUGUGGGAAAGAGUUGUUUACUUCUGAGAUUCUCAGACGGUUCCUUCACAACAAGUUUCAUCACAACUAUUGGAAUUGAUUUUAAGAUAAGA
rnacentral:misc_RNA from 1 species